rnacentral:rRNA from 1 species
UGGGGAAUAUUGGACAAUGGGCGAAAGCCUGAUCCAGCCAUGCCGCGUGUGUGAAGAAGGUCUUCGGAUUGUAAAGCACUUUAAGUUGGGAGGAAGGGCAGUAAGCGAAUACCUUGCUGUUUUGACGUUACCGACAGAAUAAGCACCGGCUAACUCUGUGCCAGCAGCCGCGGUAAUACAGAGGGUGCACGUGUUAAUCGGAAUUACUGGGCGUAAAGCGCGCGUAGGUGGUUCGUUAAGUUGAAUGUGAAAGCCCCGGGCUCAACCUGGGAACUGCAUCCAGAACGGGCGAGCUAGAGUAGGGCAGAGGGUGGUGGAAUUUCCUGUGUAGCGGUGAAAUGCGUAGAUAUAUGAAGGAACACCAGUGGCGAAGGCGACCACCUGGGCUCAGACUGACACUGCGGUGCGAAAGCGUGGGGAGCAAACAGG